GACGAACGCUGGCGGCGUGCUUAACACAUGCAAGUCGAACGGAAAGGCCCUGCUUUUGUGGCGUGCUCGAGUGGCGAACGGGUGAGUAACACGUGAGUAACCUGCCCUUGACUUUGGGAUAACUUCAGGAAGCUGGGGCUAAUACCGGAUAGGAGCUCCUGCUGCAUGGUGGUGGUUGGUAAGUUUCGGCGGUUGGGGCUGGACUCGCGGCUUAUCAGCUUGUUGGUGGGGUAGUGGCUUACCAAGGCUUUGACGGGUAGCCGGCCUGAGAGGGGGACCGGCCACAUUGGGACUGAGAUACGGCCCAGACGCCUACGGGAGGCAGCAGUGGGGAAUAUUGCACAAUGGGCGGAAGCCUGAUGCAGCAACGCCGCGUGCGGGAUGACGGCCUUCGGGUUGUAAACCGAUUUCGCAUGUGACGAAGCGUGAGUGACGGUAAUGGGUAAAGAAGCAACGGCUAACUACGUG
rnacentral:rRNA from 1 species